GAGACGGGGAAAAAAGUGCUCAAACUGAUGAGGACAUCAGCUUCGUCAAAACAGGAUGUUUUGCGAUGGUGCUGGGCAGGAGGCUGUCUGUGGGGAUGACAUAAAGCAAAGACGGGAUACACCCAAAAUAGACGAGGAGAGAAAAAGUCAAAGAGGCAAACACACAGGAGUCAUGAUUAUGAUCUAUUUCCAGAUUUUCUUAAAGAUUACAGGAGUUAUUACAUCCCCAUAAAAAAAAAACACACAUUAGGAAAGUAAAACGAAACAUAAAUCAUUCAUUUUGAUUUUUGUAGCAUAUUUUCAAGCAUACAUAAAAAAAUAUGAAAGAAAUCAUGAAGUUUGCAACAGUUUUCAGAUACAAUCAAUACAAAGAGUACAUCCCAGGUUUGUUUCAGCAGUCUGUUAUGAUGCUUUGUUUGCCAAGAGUCUGUUAUGUGCAGCAUUUUAAAUCCUUCAUUCCUCCUAACUGACUGAAAUUAAGUCGACCAGCUUUACAUGAACAUAAAAUAACAGAUUUAACAGCAUAUAUAUCUAUAAAAAAAAGAAAGCAAGAUCAUUUCUUCUUUAAUCAAACUCUAAAUAACUAGAUUCUAUGGCUGAAUAUUUAAAAAUAAAUCAUUUCCUUCAUUUGUUAGAGCGACAGAAAAUUUGUAUAUUCACAAAUAUUGUAAAAAGAGUGAUACAAAAUCUUUAAUAACAUGUAAGCAAACGUUCCUUCAUCAGAAUAUACAAAAUAAAUCAGCUUUAGUGGUUUAAAAUAUGCAUUUUAAUCAAACAGAGCUGCUAUGACGGUCUCCAUAUUCAUCCAGCUUCUUGUCUCCUAAUGUGCGAUUUUGAUUAAAGGCAAAGAAGCGUCGUGUUUUAGACAAUUUGACGCCCUGUGAGCAUCCAUUCACUCUUAUUGCUUUAAGCUUAUGGCUCUAAACAAGCGGCUGCUGUCAGUCUGAUGUGAUGUGAAAGGUUUCCUCUCUGGUAUAUCGGGGUUUUUCAGGCGUGGAGUGAUUAGCUCUGAGGUGAAGGACAGAUCGAAUCAGCAGAACAACCACAGCGUUGCGGAAAACAACAAGGAUAUCAGUGUUAUCUCAACGGAGGCGUAUUAUGAGUGAAAGUAUUACAUGAAAAUACAUAUUUGCAGAGACAGAUUUCUCUGUUUAGUAUUCUCUGUGCUUUUCACAUUGGUUUAAACUAAAGGGGGCUUACUCAGCAAAAAUCAAAGUGUGAUGACAGAAGUGAGUGUUUUUUUUUCGGUUUCGCUGUUGUUGUUUUGCUCAUGCAUCAGCCGCGUCAGUCAAACCUGAUUAAACAGCAGCCGCAGAGACCUGACAAAGCAGGUUAGCAGAGUGCUGGCAGGUAAAAAAAAUGUAUUUUUCCCCCUUUGACUGCAGCUCAUUUAACUGGGUUUUAGGGGCUCAGCUGAAUAUAUUUUACCCUGAAAACUUGACCAUGUUUCAAAGGUGUCAACUCAGGUCAAAUACGCCCUGUUUUGUCUGUGUUGGUGCCUCUGGUCGCUUUCACACAUUUACUUUCACAAACAUAUUCAAGCAGCUGCUCAUUUUUCUCCUCUUGCCCUCUCUUUGCUCUGAACUCUCUCAGCUCCCUUCAUCCAGAUGUCAAAACAUUUUCCCAUGUUCGUGUUACGAUAACUAGCAACGGGAAUAGUUUUGUUUUGCAAACAUCCACCGGCUGACACAUCUGCCAGCCUCACGCAUGGAUGUUAAAAGAGUGUGACUCAAAAAGCACAAAAGGAAGGCGAUCUAAAGAGCUUCACAGCAGCUUUUGAGUCCAAAAUCCAAGUCUUCAAACACGUUUUGGUAAAAUGAUAAAACCUGCCCAAAGAACGGUCUGUGGGUGGUGUUUUUAGCCAUUUUCAUUUAAGCUUUCAUAUGGAUGGAGCAUCUUUGAGGACACUUCUUGUUUGCGUGACACAGUCGGAGACAAAGCUUCCUUUCUACCAGAGUCCAGCUCCACAUUCCUCUCAUUCUGCCGGGCCUGACCUGACCACAGCUACAUCUGGCUCUGAGACCAUCUCAGUGUCAUCCAGGAAUUUUUAGCUCUUUUUUGAGGCUAUAAAAAUACAUUAAGAGGCUGUGUCGACUGAUGCUGUGUUUUGCGCUGGUGGUGCCUAAUUUCUGCUCUAACCAAAUCCAGCCCAACGUCUCAACGCCAAGAGUCCUCAGCGUAAAAAUGCCCUGAGCAUCAGCUGGUUUUGUUGCUGCACUCUUAGUCGAAAACAGUUCAGCUUUGGGAC
rnacentral:lncRNA from 1 species